rnacentral:misc_RNA from 1 species
UCUCCGUAGGUGAACCUGCGGAGGGAUCACUACAGGCUUGCAAAAGCUCUGAAACCACUGUCUAUCUACCUGAAUCUGCCUCGGCGGGCGGCCCCAGGGCGGGGCCGUAGCCGCAAGGCGCCCGCCGAAGACCCCUAAACUCUGUCGUCUUGAGAAUCUCUGAGUAUCAUAUUAAACAAAAAACAACUUUCAACAACGGAUCUCUUGGCUCUG